rnacentral:rRNA from 1 species
CCUACGGGCGGCAGCAGUGGGGAAUAUUGGACAAUGGGCGAAAGCCUGAUCCAGCCAUGCCGCGUGUGUGAAGAAGGCCUUCGGGUUGUAAAGCACUUUCAGUGGGGAAGAAAGCCUUGGGGCUAAUACCCUCGAGGAAGGACAUCACCCACAGAGGAAGCACCGGCUAACUCCGUGCCAGCAGCCGCGGUAAUACGGAGGGUGCGAGCGUUAAUCGGAAUUACUGGGCGUAAAGCGCGCGUAGGCGGUCUGAUAAGCCGGUUGUGAAAGCCCCGGGCUCAACCUGGGAACGGCAUCCGGAACUGUCAGGCUAGAGUGCAGGAGAGGAAGGUAGAAUUCCCGGUGUAGCGGUGAAAUGCGUAGAGAUCGGGAGGAAUACCAGUGGCGAAGGCGGCCUUCUGGACUGACACUGACGCUGAGGUGCGAAAGCGUGGGUAGCAAACAGGAUUAGAUACCCUUGUAGUC